CAUUAGUCGAUGCCCCUGUAGCUCAGUGGUAGAGCUCCUGUAAGCGGUGAGCGAAAGUGCCUAGCGAUAACUGCAAGUUUGUCGCAGGUUCGAAUCCUGUACGGUGGCUUAAC
rnacentral:tRNA from 1 species